rnacentral:rRNA from 1 species
UACGGAGGGUGCGAGCGUUAAUCGGAAUAACUGGGCGUAAAGGGUGCGUAGGUGGCGCUGUAAGUCAGGUGUGAAAUUUCGGAGCUUAACUCCGAAACUGCAUUUGAUACUGCGGUGCUCGAGGACUGGAGAGGAGACUGGAAUUUACGGUGUAGCAGUGAAAUGCGUAGAGAUCGUAAGGAAGACCAGUGGCGAAGGCGGGUCUCUGGACAGUUCCUGACACUGAGGCACGAAGGCCAGGGGAGCAAACGGG